rnacentral:rRNA from 1 species
ACGCUGGCGGCGUGCUUAACACAUGCAAGUCGAACGGAGCUGCUUCGAGGAAGUUUUCGGAUGGAAUUGAUUCAGCUUAGUGGCGGACGGGUGAGUAACGCGUGAGCAACCUGCCUUUCAGAGGGGGACAACAGUUGGAAACGACUGCUAAUACCGCAUGAAGCAUGGAGUGGGCAUCCAUUCUGUGCCAAAGAUUUAUCGCUGAAAGAUGGGCUCGCGUAUGAUUAGAUAGUUGGUGAGGUAACGGCUCACCAAGUCGACGAUCAUUAGCCGGACUGAGAGGUUGAACGGCCACAUUGGGACUGAGACACGGCCCAGACUCC